rnacentral:rRNA from 1 species
UUAUUGGAGAGUUUGAUCCUGGCUCAGGACGAACGCUGGCGGCGUGCCUAAUACAUGCAAGUCGAGCGAGUCCCUUCGGGGGCUAGCGGCGGACGGGUGAGUAACACGUAGGCAACCUGCCUCUCAGACUGGGAUAACAUAGGGAAACUUAUGCUAAUACCGGAUAGGUUUUUGGGUCGCAUGAU